CUCUGGGGCAGCGGCCCCGAGGCGAACCUCGGGGCCCAGUGGAGGGACCCAGGGAAGGGGCACUCUCCCUGCCGCCCCCACAACCCCCCGCCCUACUCUCUGGGAGCCCCUCCCCCGCACCUGCCAACUUGCAGCCUCACCCCCAGGCAUCUUUUACCCAAAGGGCUGUGCUUCUCUGCUGGGGGUUGGAGGGGCUACUGGGGUGCAUUGCUAAGUGCACGAACUGAGAAACUGGGUCUUUAGUUAUUUCCAGCACGGAGCAGCUGCCCAAGUUACCUGGGAGAUGGGAAAAUCGUGUGAAAGCUGGUUAACCCUUUGAGGAUUAGAGUAAUGGUGGAAGCAGAAAGGAGAAGGAGUUUCACUCCAGGAUGUACGUAGGACCAGCCCUCCCUGCAGUCCUGUCCUUCAAGACUCAAGUCUUGUCCACUCCAAAUCACCACUGGGAUUCCUAAGUCCAGGACAGAGCUUCAGGCAAGGAAAAGAAGAGUUGGGAAAGCCAGUUUCCAACAUUUAUCAGCCACGUGUACCUGCAAACUAUAUACCUUGGGUAAAUCAUCAAUCUCUUGAAAUGGGAAUAAAACCAUCUGCCUU
rnacentral:lncRNA from 1 species